rnacentral:rRNA from 1 species
UACGUAGGGGGCAAGCGUUGUCCGGAUUUAUUGGGCGUAAAGAGCGUGUAGGCGGCCAGGUAGGUCAGCUGUGAAAACUCGAGGCUCAACCUCGAGACGCCGGUUGAAACCAUCUGGCUAGAGUCCGGAAGAGGAGAGUGGAAUUCCUGGUGUAGCGGUGAAAUGCGUAGAGAUCGGAAAGAACACCAACGGCGAAAGCACUCUGCUGGGCCGACACUGACACUGAGAGACGAAAGCUAGGGGAGCAAAUGGG